UACGUAGGGUCCGAGCGUUGUCCGGAAUUAUUGGGCGUAAGGAGCUCGUAGGCGGUGUGUCACGUCGAUCGUGAAAACUUGGGGCUUAACCCUGAGCUUGCGGUCGAUACGGGCAUCACUGGAGUUCGGCAGGGGAGACUGGAAUUCCUGGUGUAGCGGUGAAAUGCGCAGAUAUCAGGAGGAACACCGGUGGCGAAGGCGGGUCUCUGGGCCGAUACUGACGCUGAGGAGCGAAAGCGUGGGGAGCGAACAGG
rnacentral:rRNA from 1 species